UACGUAGGUGACAAGCGUUGUCCGGAUUUACUGGGCGUAAAGAGCGCGCAGGCGGUCGUUCAAGUCGAGUGUGAAAGCCCCCGGCUCAACUGGGGAGGGUCACUCGAUACUGAUCGACUCGAAGGCAGGAGAGGGAAGUGGAAUUCCCGGUGUAGUGGUGAAAUGCGUAGAUAUCGGGAGGAACACCUGAGGUGAAGACGGGUUGCUGGGCUGACACUGACGCUGAGGCGCGAAAGCCAGGGGAGCAAACGGG
rnacentral:rRNA from 1 species